GAGGAGCCCGCGGCUGAUUAGCUAGUUGGUGAGGUAAUGGCUCACCAAGGCAACGAUCAGUAUCCGGUCUGAGAGGACGGUCGGACACACUGGAACUGAGACACGGUCCAGACUCCUACGGGAGGCAGCAGUGGGGAAUUUUUGGCAAUGGGGGAAACCCUGACCAAGCAACGCCGCGUGGGUGAUGAAGUCUCUUGGGACGUAAAACCCUUUCGACGGGGACGAAACCGCAAGGUUGACGGUACCCGUAGAAGAAGCCCCGGCUAACUCCGUGCCAGCAGCCGCGGUAAUACGGGGGGGGCAAGCGUUGUUCGGAAUUACUGGGCGUAAAGGGCGCGUAGGCGGUGCUCUAAGUCGGAUGUGAAAACUCUGGGCUCAACCCAGAGCCUGCAUCCGAAACUGGAGUGCUAGAGUUCUGGAGGGGGUAGCGGAAUUCCUGGUGUAGCGGUGAAAUGCGUAGAUAUCAGGAGG
rnacentral:rRNA from 1 species